AAAGAAAGAAAGAAAGAAAGAAAGAAAGAAAGAAAGAAAGAAAGAAAGCAAACAAAGGAAGGAAGGAAGGAAGGAAGGAAGGAAGGAAGGAAGGAAGGAAGGAAGGAAGGAAGGAAAGAGGGCAUUGCUUCAAAUCUGUUGGAGAUAUGUAAUUUAAAAAUCUCAUUGGAUAUUUCUAAUACACUACUAAUGAUACCUUAGAAACUGGCUCAAUGAUAGAGGGAUUUCUAAGCAGUGUAAUUUCUACAUUCGAUGAACAGCUCCAUGAAUAUGCAAUAUAAAGAAUGAUUGCAGCUAACAUUGUUUCUAAUAAGGCUUAUUCCAAUCUCUGGGUUGCUUUUAAUAAUCACAUAGUCAUUCAGAAGAUUUGUUCUCCUGCUCCAUUUUGAAGGCUGUUCUGUGCUUCAUAAAAUCAGUUCAUAUAAAACCACUGAGUUGAUUUUUCAUUUUGCCUUUUCUGGAUACCUAGGGAUACAAUUGCAACUUGUCAUUUAUUCUAUAUGCAUUUUUGAAAGAUAACAUUUUUUUGUAUUUUGGGGCUGUUGUAAAUAAAAUGCUGUAAUUACAUAGCUUAUAAACAACAAACAACUGUCACAUCCCAACCUAGAGGCUGAGAAGGCCAAGUAGAGCCAGCAGAGGUGGGUUCUAGUGUGAGCACACACUUCCUGCCUCACAGAUGAUGGUCUUGCUGUGCUUUCUCCUGUCAGAUGGGCAAAGGAUGUUCUUGGAGGCCUCUUUUAUGAGCACAAUAAGCCAAACCUGAGAGUCAGAGCCCUCAAUGUGAGCCCUUCACACAGGCUCCGCCACCACACACCCCCGUCUUGUGACUAAAUCUCAACAUAAUGGACUGGGAGAGUGGAUGGCACAAGGGUUCUGACUGUCACACCUGGGUGCGUGUCAUUCAAUAAGAGCAAUGAUGACUUGUUCCACCUAGAAAGUGCUCUGAAUAGAGAGGCAUCUCAAUGCAAUUUCUUCACCAUUACUCACUCAUCUUUUUGUGAUAUCACUUUCCUUUAUUAUCCAGAAACAUAAGUGGAGGAGGGAGAGCUACAGGGCAUGGAUCCACAGAAGAGGAAGUAGGAUAUCACUGUGAUAUAUUCUUUGUUUGUUUGUUUGUUUGUUUGUUUGUUUGUUUGAACUGAGUGUCAGAGAUCCUAGCAGGGUUCUACUCUAUGGACUGGAUGCCUCUUCUGUGAGGUCUUGAAUUCAUGGAAGUGAUUAAAAUCUGAUUUGGAUAGAUUAGCAUAUCUCAGAGAUUUCUAAUUAACUGAGAUUCUCUUCCCCUUGUCUUUUUUUCUCCCUCUUUCUUUUCAUUUUCAUUUUCAUUUUUUUUCUUGCCUUGAUUUUUGUUUUUAUUAAGUCAUUUUUUUUCUUUGUUAGGCAGAAUCUCACAUCAUAACCCCAAAUGACCUGUUACUCACCAUGUGGCCCAGCUGUCUUCAAACUCACCAGCCUCCUGCCUUAGCCUUCUAAAUGCUUGGAUUACAGGCAUGACCCACCAUAACUGGCUUUGUUUUAGUUUCAGAGAAGAUGAAACUGAUGUGCGUCAAAAAGCUGGUAGUCUGUCAAGGAAAUGAGCUGAACAUGUCUGUGUACAGCUUUUGUGCCAUCCCUGGAUGAGCGAGCUGUCUGCCUCUAUGUUCUCCACAAAAUGGAAUAUAGCUGUACACCCAAGCCAAGUUAUGGAGGCUGGGAAGACCUAGAAUGUGGCAUCACUAUUUGCUGAAAUUUUUAAUAUAAUGCCUCUUAGCCUGGUUUGGAGAAAACGUCACAGAGAGGCACCAUUUGUUGUGGUUUUACAUGAAAAUUUUCUGACCCUGAACCUGGUUUGAUGGAAAUCAUUUGCUGAGGUAAUUAUCUCAAAUUAACUACCAAGCUGAUGAAUCGCUUACUACUUAAAAGCUGUGAUGGGGAGAGGAGUAAUUGAGAGCGGCCUUGUUGGGAGGGGAUGUGGACAUUUUUUUUUUCAGCAGCCAAUCAACUUAGAGGUUUUUUUUUGUUUUGUUUUGUUUUGUUUUUGUCUUGUUUUUUUUUCUGUGUAGAAUCUGAAUGUAUUGUCACAAGGUGAACACCAG
rnacentral:lncRNA from 1 species